rnacentral:rRNA from 1 species
UACGUAGGGGGCAAGCGUUAUCCGGAAUUACUGGGUGUAAAGGGAGCGUAGACGGUUAAGUAAGUCUGGAGUGAAAACCCGGGGCCCAACCCCGGGAGUGCAUUUGAAACUGCCAUGCUGGAGUGCCGGAGAGGUAAGCGGAAUUCCUAGUGUAGCGGUGAAAUGCGUAGAUAUUAGGAGGAACACCAGUGGCGGAGGCGGCUUACUGGACGGUAACUGACGCUGAGGCUCGAAAGCGUGGGGAGCAAACAGG